GGCGCCAGGGGCGGGAGUGCGGAGGGCGGCGCGGGACUUUGCAGCACGGGGAGCCCACGGAGACCUCACGGGCCUCGAACCCCCUCUCCCUGGGGUGGAGCUUACCACCCUGACUUGUCCGGGAAGAGAGUAGAGUGCGGGGCAUCGUUUUCCAUGGAAUCUUUGGUCCCUUUCCCCGCAGUUUUUACAAGUGCCUUAUAAAUUAGAGAUCGUCAUCUUUCAUCUGUGAUAUAUGUUAUGGCUCUUUCCUUUCAGUUUGUCAUUUGCCUUCUGAGCUUGCUGGUGGUGGCUUUUCCCCCAUGCAAACGGUUUUUAUUUUUAUAGUAAAAUUUACCAAUUUUUUAAUUUUCUUGCAUUUGGAAUUUUGGUCAUAUUUUAAAAGCUUUCCCCAUCACCCAGGUUAUAGUCAUCCAUUUAUUUGUAAUGCUUUAUUUUUUACAUUUAGAUCUUUGAUACAUUUUGAGUUUAUUCUUGUUUAUGGUUUGAGGAAUGGAUCAAAUUUUGUCUUUUUUCCAAAUGGGUAUCCAGUUGUCCCAACACCAUUUAUUAAAAAGAUUAGUACUGCCUUAGUAACUUGAGAUACCACCUUUAUCAUAUACUAGAUUUUUAUAUGUAUUUUGACUGUUUCUAGAACUUCUAUUCCAUUGACAUGUUUAUUCAUCUGUUGCAGAGAGGCUCUGUUAUAUAUUCUAAUGUCAGGGCUAGUUCCCCUAACAACUCUUCCUUCCCGCUGUUUUCCUAGCUAUUCUUUUGUGCUUAUCUUUACUUAGGAACUUUAGGAUUGACUUCUGAUUUAUGAUCAGUGGCAAAAAAAAAAAAAGCUCCCAUUGGGAUUUGUAUUGGAUUUGCAUUAAACUUAUAAAUUACAGACAGCUGACAUCUUGAGAUGGUGUUGAGAUGUUCUAACCAAGAACAAAGGAUGCCAUUUCUUUGUUCUGGUUUACUUUUGUGUCUUUAAAGAGUGUUUAUAGUUUUCUUACAUAGAAUAUUUUCUUGUUAAGUUUGUUUCUAAACAUUUUAUCUUUUUUUUUUCUAUUGUACAUGAGGUUUUUCAUUCACUGUAUCUUCUCUUUGUGUAUAUGAAUGCUGUUGACUUCCUUUCAUUUUAAAAAUUAAGGUAUAAUUUACAUACAGCAAAUUCAUACUUUUUAAUGUACAGUUCUGUGAGUUUUGACAGAUGAAUACAAUCUUGUAACAACCACAAGAGAUAAAAGAGAUAAAGAUAUUAAAAAGUUUCAUCAACCCCCCCCCCCAAAUUCCCACUGGUUCCUUUGUAAUCAACCUCUUCACUCAAGGUGCGUCCCUGGCAAAUACUGGUCAAAUUUUGGUCCCUAUAGUUCCAGAAUGUCAUAGAAGUGGAACCAUGCAGCACAUGGUCUUUUGAGCCUUGCUUCUUUCACUUAGCAUAAUGCAGUUGAGUUUCAUCCAUGUAGUUAGACCUAUUGCUAAUUUGCUGUUGCUUUCUAAUUUAAUUCCACAGUGAUUGGAGAACAUGCUUUGUGUUAUUUGAAUCCUUUUAAAUUUAUAAGUUGAGAUUUGUUUUCUGGACAGAAUAUGGUCUAUCUUGAUAAAUACAUUCCCAUGGACAGUUCAAAGUGUGUUCUGUUGUUGGGUGAAGUGUUCUAUCAGCAUCCAUUAGAUUAAGUUGAUUGAAAGUGUUGUUCAAGUCCUCAUAUCCUUACUGAUGUUAUGACUAGUUGAACUAUCAAUUACUGAGAAAGGAUGCUGAAAUCCCCAAGUAUAAUUGUAGACUUAUUUCUCCUUGAAGUUCUAUCCAUUUGGGCUUUGUAUGUUUUGAAAGUCUGUUGUUAGGUGUAUAUAUAUUUAGGAUUGUUAAUUCCCCUCGAUGAAUCUGUUUAUCAUUUCAGAAGAAGUAGAAUAAAAGUUCUUAUAUUUAUAAACAUGUAUAAAUAUAUAAAUAUAGAAUCUAUAGUGAUAUAUUGAAAUUUAUAAUAUUACAUAUUAUAUAGAUUUAUAGAAAUAUAUAAAUAUAGAACUUUUAAUCUAUUACUUUUGGAGUGUUUUUUUUUUAAGAGAGCAAGAGAUCAUGAGCAGUUGGGGAGGGGUAGAGGGAGAGGAAAAGAGAGAAUCUUAAGCAGGCUCCAAGUUCAGCAGAGCCCCACAUGGGGCUCAAUCUCACAACCCUGAAAUCAUGACCUGAGCCAAAAUCAAGAGUUGGGUGAACCGCUGAGCCACCCAGGUGUCCCUACAUUUGGAGUGUUUAAAAUUAACAUUUUUAACCCAUUGGGGGCUAAUAUUAUUGUAGUUAGUUGUUGAUUAUGACAUAUGAAUUUAUAUCUAAUUUUCUUCAUAAUGAAAACUAAUAUCCCAACAAUAUUUAUUAAAUUAUGAUUCAUCUCUUUACUUUCUUAUUCCUCUUAAUACUUCAUGUUAAGCUUUUUGAUAGAUUAAGGUUUAUAUCUGAAAUUUCUAUUGUACCUCCUGUCAUAUCAUCUAUUCUUAAUUUAGAACUAUUUAGCUUUAUAAUUACUGCUUAAUGAUGCAUUAAAAAAAAUUGGGUGGAGGAUACAGAAAGUUCCCAUAUACCACCUGCUCCGCCCCUAACUCCCCCAUUAUCAAUAUCUCACACCAGAGUGGUGCAUUUGUUACAAUUGGUGAAUCUACAUCGACACAUUAUUAUCAAAGUUCAUAGUUUACAUUAGAGCUUGAUCCUGGUGUUGUACAUUCUAUUGAGUUUUGACAAAUGUUUAAUAACAUACAUCCACCAUUAUAGUAUCAUACAAAAUAGGUUCACUGCCCUAGAAAUCCUCUGUGCUCUGCUGUUCAUCCUUCCCUUUCCUCUAAUUCUUGGCACCCACUGAUCUUUUUACUGUCUCCAUAGUUUUGCCUCCAAAUGUUAUAUAGUUGGAAUCAUAUGUUAUUAGCCUUUUCAGAUUGGCUUGUUUCACUUAGUAAUAUGCAUUUGUUUCCUCCACAUUUUUUUAGGCUUGAGAGCUCAUUUAUUUUUAGCACUGAACAAUAUUCCAUUGUCUGAAUGUACCAUAUAUUUAUCCAUUUACCUAUUGUAGAACAUCUUAGUUGCCUCCAAAUUUUGGCAAUUAUGAAUAAAGCUGCUAUAAUCAUCCAUGUGUAGGUUUUUGUAUAGACAUAAAUUUUUAACUCUUUAAGCGGCAUGAUUGCUGGAUUGUAUGGGAAGAAUAUGUUAGUUUUAUAAGAAACUAUCAAACUGUCUUGCAAAGUGAACACCAUUUUCAUUCCCACCAGCUAUACAUGAGAGUUCCUGUUGUUCCACAUCCCUUGCCUGCGUUUGGUAUUAUCACCAUUCCACUAGGUGUGUAGUGGUAUCUCAUCGUUAUUCUAAUUUACAUAUCCCCAAUGACGUAAGAUAUUGAGCAUCUUUUCAUAUAUUCAUUUGCCAUCUGUAUAUAUUCUUUGGUGAGGUGUCUGUUGAGGUCUUUUGCCCAUUUUAAAAUCAGGCUGUUUUCUUUUUUUUUAAGAUUUUAUUUAUUUAUUUGAGAGAGAGAGAGCGUGAGAGAGAGAGAGCAUGAGCAGGGGGGAGGAGCAGAGGGAGAGGGUGAAGCAGACUCCCUGCUAAGCAGGGAGUGCAAUAUGGACUUGAUCCUAGGACCCUGGGAUCAUGACCUGGGCCGAAGGCAGACGCUUCACCGACUAAGCCACCCAGGUGCCCCAGGUUGCUUUCUUAUUGUUAAAUUGUAAGAGUUCUUUAUAUUUUUGGAUAACAGUUUUUUUUAUCAGUUAUGUCUUUUGCAAAUAUUUUCUUCCAGUCUGUGAAAAGAUGCAUUUUAAAGUGUGAAAGUGCAUUUCAUUUGGUAUUGUCUUGGUUUUGUUUUUUUUUUAAUUUUAUUAUGUUAUGUCACCAUACAUUACAUCACUCCUUUUUGAUGUAGUGUUCCACGAUUCAUUGUUUGCAAAUAACACCCAGUGCUCCAUUCAGUACAUGCCCUCCUUAAUACCCAUCACCGGGCUAACCCAUCCCCCCACCUCCCUCCCCUCUAAAACCCUCAGUUUAUGUCUCAGAGUCCAUCGUCUCUCAUGGUUCAUCUCCCACUCCGAUUCCCCCCCUGCUUCAUUUUUCCCUUCCUACUAUCUUCUUUCCUUUUUUUUUUUUUUAACAUGUAAUGUAUUCUUUUUUUCAGAGGUACAGGUCUGUGAUUCAUCAGUCUUAUACAAUUCACAGUGCUCACCAUAGCACAUACCCUCCCCAAUGUCUAUCACCCAGCCACCCAUCCCUCCCACCCCCCACCACUCCAGCAACCCUCAGUUUGUUUCCUGAGAUUAAGAAUUCCUCAUAUCAGUGAGAUCAUAUGAUACUUGUCUUUCUCUCACUGACUUACUUCGUUUAGCAUAAUAUCCUCUAGUUCUAUCCACGUCGUUGCAAAUGGCAAGAUUUCGUGUUUUUUGAUGGCUGCAUAAUAUUCCAUUGUGUAUAUAUACCACAUCUUCUUUAUCCAUUCAUCUGUUGAUGGACAUCUUGGCUCUUUCCAAAGUUUGGCUAUUGUGGACAUUGCUGCUAUGAACAUUGGGGUGCAUGUACCCCUUUGGAUCGCUACAUUUGUAUCUUUGGGGUAAAUACCCAGUAGUGCAUUUGCUGGGUCGUAGGGUAGCUCUAUUUUCAACUUUUUGAGGAACCUCCAUACUGUUCUCCAGAGUGGCUGCACCAGCUUGCAUUCCCACCAACAGUGUAGGAGGGUUCUCCUUUCUCCGCAUCCUCGCCAACAUCUGUCGUUUCCUGGAUUGUUAAUUUUAGCCAUUCUGACUGGUGUGAGGUGAUAUCUCAUUGAGGUUUUGAUUUGGAUUUCCCUGAUGCUGAGUGAUGUUGAGCACUUUUUCAUGUGUCUGUUGGCCAUUUGGAUGCCUUCUUUGGAAAAAUGUCUGUUCAUGUCUUCUGCCCAGGUAUUGUCUUAUUUUUUAAAAUACAUUUUACUUUCAUUUUGUCAAAUUUUAUAAAUUACCAUAUUGGUAUCUUAACUGGACUUGAAUUAAGAGAUUUUAUAUAUUAUAUCUAUAACUUGGAGAGUAUUAUCACUUGUAAUGUAUUUAUGCAAGUGCAGAGAAUAUCAAGACUUUAUUUUCACCAUUAAUAAUUCUCUUAAAGUGAUCUCAUAUAUCCUUAUCUACAUUUUCUCUAAGAAUUGAUUUAUUGAUUCUUGUUUUUUUUUUUUUAAGAUUUUAUUUAUUUGACAGAGAGAGACACAGCGAGAGAGGGAACACAAGCAGGGGGAGUGGGAGAGGGAGAAGCAGGCUUCCCGCAGAGCAGGGAGCCCGAUGCGGGGCUCCAUCCCAGGACCCUGGGAUCAUGACCUGAGCCGAAGGCAGACGCUUAACGACUGAGCCACCCAGGCGCCCCUGAUUCUUGUUUUUUAAUAACAGUUUUGAGAUAUAACUUACAUGCCGUAAAAUUCACUCUUUAAAGGUGUACAAUUCAAUGGUUUUAGUAUAUUCACAGUGUUCACCACUAUCUAUUGUUAGAAAUUUUCAUCACCCCAAAGAAACUCUGAAGUGCAUUUGCAGUCACUCCCAUUUCCCUCCUCCCCAUAGAUCGUGGUAACCACUAAUAUACUUUAGUCUUUGUGAAUUUAUGUAUUUUGGACAUUUCAUAUAAAUAAGAUCAUAUAGUAUGUGGCCUUUUGCCACUGACUUCUUUCACUUAGCAUGUUUUCAAGCUUCCUUACUGUUGAUGAAUAUAUCAAAACUUUGCUACUUUUUAUUGCCAGAUAAUAUUCCAUUGUAUGGAUAUACAACUUUUUAUUUAUCUAUUCGUCAUCUGACGGACAUUUGGUUAUUUUUACUUUUUGACUAUUGUGAAUAAUGCUGCUAUGAACAUUUGUUGUCUCAGGCAACUUGGGCUGCUAGAAAAAAUACCAUAGACUGGGUGGCUUAAACAACACUGAUUUCUCAUAGUCUGGAGGCUGGAAGUAUGAGGUCAGGAGUUCUUGGUGAGGACCCUCUUCCUGAUUUGCAGAUGACCCCUCUUGCUAUUUUCUCACUUGGCAGAGAGCUCUGGUCUUUUCAUCUUCUUAUAAGGACACGAAUUCUUUCAUGGUGGUUUCACUUUCAUGACCUCAUCUAAACCUAAUUACUUCCCAUCUGACCCCAUCUCCAAAUACCAUCAAUCACAUUGAGGAUUAGGACUUUAACAUCUGAAUUUUGGGGGCACACAAACAUUCUGCCCGUAGCAUUUGUGAACAAGUUUUUAUGUGGACAUAUGUUUCAUGUCACUUGGGUAUAUUCCUAUCUGGGUGUAAAAACAUGUGGGUCAUAUGGUAACUCUAACUUUUUGAGGAAUUGCAAAACUGUUUUCCUAAGUGGUUGUACCAUGUUACAGUCCCACCAGCAAGAUAUGAGGGUUCCAAUUUCUCCACAUCCUUGUCAACACUUGUUAUUGUCCAUCUUUUAAAAUUUUAGUUAUUCUAGUAGUUGUGAAGUGGUUUUGAUUUUCAUUCUCUUAAUGACUAAGGAUGUUCAACAUUUUAUUAUGUCCUUAUUGGCCAUGUGUAUAUCAUCCUUGGAGAGGUGUCUAUUCAAAUCCUUUGCCUAUUUUUAAACUCGAUUAUUUGCUUUUUUUAUUGUUGAGUUGUAAGAGUUCUUUAUAUAUUCCAGAUACAAGUCCUUUAUCAACUAUGAUUUGCAAAUCCUUUCGCCCAUUCUGUGGGUUGUCUUUUCACUUUGUUGAUGGUGUUGAUGAUUUUAAAAUCUUUCACAAUAUGUGGCUGUAGUAUUUGUAAAAAAUGAUUGGUUUUGGUAUCUUUUCCAUUGCUAUAUUUAUCGUCAUUUCUUUUUGCCACCUUAUUUUGAUGGCCAGGAAGAAUUUUGAAAAAUAUAUCAAAUAGAAGUGGCAACAGAGAACAUUUUUAGUUUUUGUUUUAUUUUGUUUUUUCACUACUCUUCUGAGUUCAGAGUAAGCCUCUUUAUUGUGCUAAAAGUUCCUUUAUUUCUCUUUCAAGUGUUAAGAACAAUGAAAAAUGAAAGUAAUAAUCUCUGCUCUCCCCAUAAAUGGCUACCCCAUACCCAGUCUUCUUUGUGAAUGUGCAGCAUUUUUUAUUUUGGUUAUCUAUAGAUUGCCCUUUCAUUUUGCAGUAAUAAAAACUUCUUUCUUUUCAGUAAUGAGUUGUAGCUCUAGUAAUUUAUGUCAGUGGAAGAACAUCAUUAUUUAUUGUCAUGUUUGUUAUUUUUUUCCCUGUGAUUUGGUGAGUAAAUCUGACUUAACAAAGAAUAAGGGUUAACUUUAUGCAGUCAUUUAGCCAGAAUGACUGUCUUUUUUUUUAACAAGGCAAUGAGUGAAAUCUAUUUUCUUCCAAAGCAUUUAAAACAUCGGAAAGUAAUAUAAAGGCCAAAUCCUUUCAAAUCUCAAAUCAGAUGUAAAAACUAACAUCUUAAGUGUUUCUGUCUCUCUCAAAAUUGCUAAGUUGGAAGACCUCAGUACAAAAGUAAUGCUUUUCAGAAGAGUGGAUAAAACAGAUGAACUGGAAGUGGAUGACAUAAGUGAAUUUUCAAAAGACCCUUCACAAGUUUCCCUUUUGGUUGCAUUUCACAAUAUCCAAGACACCAUGACGGAGAAUGUGCUCUCCUUGCUUAUGGAGUCGAUUAGUGGCCUGUCAGAAGCCAAUGGUGACUUCAGAGUGGAAGUAAUACCCAAUAUUAAAGUUGCUGUCAUGACUUUUCUCCAAAAAUACUGAUGUCAGGACAUCUGUUAUGUUUUUGUUGGACACAAUAGAGUUCAGCAACUUCAGAUUUUCCCAAGACUUCUGGAACUGACAAGAACCAUCAGGGUUGAAAAUCUGCCACCUCGUGUUGAUAAGAGUUAUGUAACAACUUUCUUUGAGAACCCCACAAAUGGAAGAGAAGGAGUAACCAAUGUGCAGCUUUUCCCAGAGAAGAGUUCAGCCCUGGUUGAGUUUUCUGACUACAAAGUGGUGGACGCCUCCUUGGCCCAAGAGCCUGUCUUCAGUGAAAGACCCAUCUCUGUGUUUCCAUAUUACAUGACUUCGGCAUUGCCUUGUAUGGAAAGGAGAAGCCUCUGAGAAAGUUGCCAGCACCAUUUCUGGUGGCUCUGGAUCCUCUCAUAUGGAAGAUCUUGCAGAAGAAGCAUCACCUGAUUGAAAUGAUAAAUUAUAAAAGGGGAAUAUGUCACUGUGAGGUAACAUGGCCCCGAGUCAGCUGUAAGGGGCUAGAGGUAACAUUCAAAUCCAUGGCCACUGAACUCAAGGAAGAACAAAGAUCAAUGUCAUCAAAACCUGGAAUGAGGACAUUUCUAAAAACUUCUGCCUAUCAUUUCUAAAUAUCAAGUCACCAAAUUGAAUGUGAAGCCAACGGCAUGGGAAGACAUAAAAAACAGCAUAAAGGAUGAUAAGAUUUUGAUUGAGUCUGAUAUAUUCAAGAAGAUAGUCAUAAUAACAGGUUGUUUGGAGGAUGUGAAUAGAACUUACUACAAUUAAAGACACCUACCAUAACAUUGAAAAGGAAAAAAAAAUUUACAGAGAAUGUGGCUGGUUCUUCUAGAUUUUCUAUUCUUCACAUCAAUGCUUUGAAAAAGUCUAUACCCCAAGGAAUUCUCAGGGUUGGAGGCCAUUAAUAAUGCUUGCACCAAACAUACCAGAGUACAUGCAGGAGAGUAUAAAGAAUGAAAUUCCUGAGCAAGGGAAAAGGACUGUUCAAGAAGCCCACUCCCAGUCCUUCUGGAGUUUUCUAUUUGUUAUAGGAAGUAGAGUGUGGAAAAUUCUCUAACAUUGUUUUAAGAAAGAAAAUUCAUAACCUUUUUGAGUUAGAUCAGGCAUGAAAAAUACCUUUCAUUUCAUGGGUUACUUCUUUUUUGGGGGGGAGGGGCAGAGGGAGAAGGAGAGAGAGAAUCUCAUGGGUUACUUACCAAGCAAUUGCCUGCAGCUUUGUGUUGAGCAAGUUUCUGAAACUCUAUCUGGAUUGAUUGAAAAAGAGUGUUGGUACCAAUUAAUGUCUGUCACAGGUGUGGAUGACGAGAUAUAUAGGGAUGGGGAGGUGAUGUGCGCCAUGUUAUUACCAUUGGUAAGUGUGAGAAUACAGUCAGGUAGAUCAACACCUCUUCCUAGAUUCUGUGAAGAUCAGAUUCACAGAUUGUGCCUUCAUCAGCUAAUAUUUUGACUUUGAGUGAGUGGUUUCAUCUCUUUGUACAGUUUUUUCGUUUUUUUUUUUUUUCCAGGAGAAUGAAGUUUCCGUACUAGAUGAUCUCUAAUGACCCUUUAAAUUCUAAAAUUCUUUGGCUGAGUAAUAGUCAAACUACAAAUGCAUUAUCAUGCAUUUGACAGGAUUCAAGUGCCAAUGAUUUAAAUAGGGAAGUAAAAGGUACUGAUAGGGUGUGUGAUCAAAUCCGUUACCGCUUAAUCCCACUAAGGAAACUCCAGAGUGAGUACUACCUGGGAGGCAAGGUUGCUGGGGAGCUUUACACGAACUCCUGUCAAUCAUUGGAUGAGGGCUUGAGGGGGGUGGGAGGGCUGCUUAAUUUACCUGCAAUUCCUCUCUGCUACACCUGAAGGGAAGCAGGCUUUGGCACUACAGAAAGUCCUGGGACAAGAAAUACAGUGGGAGGGUCGCCUGGGUGGCUCAGUUGGUUGAGCAUCAGACUCUUGAUUUCAGCUCAGGUCAUGAUCUCAGGGUCCUGGGAUUGAGACCCAGGUAGGGCUCAGUGUAAGUGUGGAGCCUGCUUAAGAUUCUCUCUCUCCUUCUCCCUCUGCCCCUCCCCCCAAAAAAAGAAAAGAAAAGAAAAGAAAUACAGCUGGAAAUAUGACCAGAAUGCCCUUACGUAGUAAGAGCCAGAGGGUAUGAACAGGGUCUGCUAAGCUACAAUUCUUGGGGGAAUAAGUAAAAGAGCUCACUGGCAUUUGGAGUUAAAUAUAGCUGAUGCUCAAAAAUCGUGAUAGUAAAUUAUUUGUUUUUGAGUCUUAGGGUUGGAUUAUGAGUUGAGUUAGAGAGGUGUGGAAUCUAAGGUUAUUUCUCAGAGUUAUAUGAGAAAAAUCUCCAGAUAGCAUUGGGUCAUUAUU